rnacentral:rRNA from 1 species
GGGAUGCUAAGAUGAGUGCAUGUCCGUUUAUCGUUUAUUUGAUAGUACCAUACUACUUGGAUAACCGUGGUAAUUCUAGAGCUAAUACAUGCUAAAAACCUCGACUUCGGAAGAGGUGUGUUUAUUAGAUUAAAGACCAAUGCCCUCCGGGGCUCACUGGUGAUUCAUAAUAACCUCUCGAAUCGCACGGCCCUGCGCCGGCGGUGGUUCAUAUCAAAUUUACUGCCCUAUCAAACUUUCGACUUUAGUGUAGUGGAMUAAAAGUGGUUGCAACGGGUAACGGAGGGUUAGGGCUCGACCCCGGAGAAGGAGCCUGAGAAACGGCUACUACAUCCAAGGAAGGCAGCAGGCGCGCAAAUUACCCAAUCCCGACACGGGGAGGUAGUGACAAUAAAUACUGAUACAGGGCUCUUUCGGGUCUUGUAAUUGGAAUGAGUACAAUUUAAAUCCCUUAACGAGGAACAAUUGGAGGGCAAGUCUGGUGCCAGCAGCCGCGGUAAUUCCAGCUCCAAUAGCGUAUAUUAAAGUUGUUGUGGUUAAAAAGCUCGUAGUUGAACCUGGGCCCCGCGCCCGCCGGUCCGCCUCACCGCGUGCACUGGCGCGGCCGGGGCUUUCACUUGGGGAACCGCAUGCCCUUCGCUGGGCGUGCGCGGAACCAGGACCUUUACUGUGAAAAAAUUAGAGUGUUCAAAGCAGGCCUAUGCUCGAAUACAUUAGCAUGGAAUAAUAGAAUAGGACGCGCGGUUCUAUUUUGUUGGUUAUGGGACCGCCGUAAUGAUUAAUAGGGCCAGUCGGGGGCAUCAGUAUUCAAUAGUCAGAGGUGAAAUUCUUGGAUUUAUUGAAGACUAACUACUGCGAAAGCAUUUGCCAAGGAUGUUUUCAUUAAUCAGGAACGAAAGUUAGGGGAUCGAAGACGAUCAGAUACCGUCGUAGUCUUAACCAUAAACUAUGCCGACUAGGGAUCGGGCGAUGUUACAUUCUGACUCGCUCGGCACCUUACGAGAAAUCAAAGUCUGUGGGGUUCCUGGGG